rnacentral:rRNA from 1 species
AUGGCGAGAUCGAGGACGCGCAGCAGAAGGCGGAGGAGUGGGACCGCUUCUACGAGUCCAAGAGGAAGGAGAUGGAGGAGUUCCGGCCAUCGUCUCCACAGCCACCAUCCACCCCCGGCCGCAGCCACUUGUCAACCCCACGAGCAGCCUCCUAGCCUAGUUCCUCAUCACCGUCCUCCUCCCGGUCCCUGUCCACCUCCACCUCCACCUGGUGGUCCCAGAGGCAACGAUUCCCCGUCGCCUCAGCCGCCGUAG